rnacentral:rRNA from 1 species
UACAGAGGUCUCAAGCGUUGUUCGGAAUUAUUGGGCGUAAAGCGCGUGUAGGCGGCUUUGCAAGUCGGGUGUGAAAGCCCUCAGCUCAACUGAGGAAGUGCGCCCGAAACUGCAGAGCUUGAGUGCCGGAGAGGGUGGCGGAAUUCCCCAAGUAGAGGUGAAAUUCGUAGAUAUGGGGAGGAACACCGGUGGCGAAGGCGGCAUCCUGGACCGAUACUGACACUGAGGAGCGAAAGCCAGGGGAGCAAACGGG